rnacentral:rRNA from 1 species
GGCCCUACGGGAGGCAGCAGUGAGGAAUAUUGGUCAAUGGCCGAGAGGCUGAACCAGCCAAGUCGCGUGAGGGAUGACGGCCCUACGGGUUGUAAACCUCUUUUGUCGGGGAGCAAGACCCGCCUCGUGCAGGCGGAGCGAGAGUACCCGAAGAAAAAGCAUCGGCUAACUCCGUGCCAGCAGCCGCGGUAAUACGUAGGUGGCAAGCGUUAUCCGGAUUUAUUGGGCGUAAAGCGAGCGCAGGCGGUUGCUUAGGUCU